UUAUUAAUUAAUAACGAAAACAAAUACCAUUAUAACUCUAUAACAAAUCCAAUCGCCACACAGAUACAACGAAUGAAAAGAAUAUGAAAACCCACAAAUCAAAAACUAACUAGUCGCAUCCAAAUGCGGAAGAUGCAGCCUGGAUGCUUAGCUACUUCGCUCACUUGCAUUCUAAAGAUUUGAGGGUCUUGGCUGUCACAUCAAAAGCUAUGGUGCAGUUCAUGUUGGCGGCCUUCUUCUUCUUCAUGAUGAACAUAAUUGCAACUUUUCCGUUCAAUCUUCCUACGCUGUUGAGCGUCAACACCCCGCUGCUCAAUUCACUUCCAAAGUUUGAACCAGUUAUUGCAUUUGAAUUCAAACUCACCUCCGCAUUUCUUUUUAUGGUCGAAAGCCAUCCAGCCUUGCCCUUUGCGAUAUCAAUUACUGCCAGAGUCGCUCCUUGGUGUUGAAACGUGAUAUUGGCAGCAUUGAACUUGUAGGAACCCCAGUUGGCUGAGUUCUUGAUCUUGAUUUGGGUUGUGAAUUUCGUGUCGAAUGAAGGCGCUGCCGAGUCAGAUACGAAGCUUUCGACGUUGAUGUUGCCUAGCCUGAACCUGGGAGUUUUCACUUUCAUGACAGUGAGACUCAUUGUGGUGAUAACUAUGACCUGAAACACAACGAAAAUAGUAAUAUAGAUGGCCAAUUUGAUUUUCUUCUGGCGUUUCAGCUCGUCAGCGGAAUGCAAAGAUUCUGCAUCACCCAUGUUGAUUUCUUUUAGUGGAAGGAAGGAAAGCUUCAAAAGAAAAUGCUCUGCUUUUUCUCUGUUUCGCUCUGUAAAAUAUGAAGGGAUGAGAAAGUG
rnacentral:lncRNA from 1 species